rnacentral:rRNA from 1 species
UAGGUUUUCGGACCUAGAGACCGGCGCACGGGUGCGUAACGCGUAUGCAAUCUACCUUUUACAGAGGGAUAGCCCAGAGAAGUUUGGAUUAAUACCUCAUAGUAUUAUUGAAUGGCAUCAUUUAAUAAUUAAAGUCACAACGGUAAAAGAUGAGCAUGCGUCCCAUUAGCUAGUUGGUAAGGUAACGGCUUACCAAGGCAACGAUGGGUAGGGGUCCUGAGAGGGAGAUCCCCCACACUGGUACUGAGACACGGACCAGACUCCUACGGGAGGCAGCAGUGAGGAAUAUUGGUCAAUGGGCGCAAGCCUGAACCAGCCAUGCCGCGUGCAGGAUGAAGCAUCUAUGGU